AAGAGGCUACAUGAAGGGAAUUAUUUUGUUUGUCUUGACGGAGUGGGCGAACUAGAGAAAAUGGUGACAAGAGACGGAAAUCUAUCUUAGAGUUUGUGUGGAUCACAGCCAUAAAACAGGGAAAAGGAAAAGCCACAGCAGCAUUCUCCAGUGAGGAAGACAAGGCAGACUCUCCAUCUGGAAGGCGAUCCUGCCUCAUCCCACAAGGCACCAGUGCACACUGCUGCACAGUCCACGUUAUCUGCUGUGGCUGCCGAACUAUCCAGUCUGUGGGGGUCACUGUGCAGUCAAGAGGUUUGGCUGAUACAAACAGGCCCGAGAGAUGAGGACUGAAACAAGAAGCACACAGAGCGGUCAGCACCCGAGAGCUGCCUAGUACACGGCAAAGGCAGGACGAGAAGAAAGCAGCCUUCCCGUUGUCUCAGUGCUCCGCCAGGACAAAGCAGCCCAGCAAAGCGGGAAGUACAUCUGCCAGUGAGACACUUGGGGCGGUGCUUUCUGCUCGAUCAGAAAUAGCUGUGGACAACUAGACAGCUGGUUGUGCAAGAGCUUAAGAACGACAGAACAAAUGCAGAGAAACAAGGAAUUACAGUAUACUGUGACCAGUGUUAUAGCAGGGCAAGCUCAUUCUGCUUACAGAAAAGAGAAUUCAAAAGGUUCCAGGCUUCCUUGAGAAACUGAAACAGAGGGCUAAGGAGACAGCCAUGCAGAGCGCGUGGGAGGCGUGCCGGAGAGCUGAAACGGUGCCAUUGUAGACCCAAGGGAGAGCACAAGGCCCUCACUGACGGACGGACGGACCCAGUGCGGAGCCGAAAACAGGACUGAAGAGACAUUUCACCCUGCGUUCCCCUUCUCUGGGAUCUUGCAAAUGCUCUCAGUUCUUUUCUCUAGUCCACAUGUGUGCUUGUUAUGUUUGAUGUGGAAUCAGGGGAUUUGAAACUAAUUACAGCUCUAACCUUGUGCAAUAAAUGAAGCAGUGAUAAUU
rnacentral:lncRNA from 1 species